rnacentral:rRNA from 1 species
UACGUAGGGACCAAGCGUUGUUCGGAUUUACUGGGCGUAAAGGGCGCGUAGGCGGCAAUUCAAGUCAGUUGUGAAAUCUCCGAGCUUAACUCGGAACGGUCAACUGGUACUGUGCGACUAGAGUGCGGAAGGGGCAACUGGAAUUCUCGGUGUAGCGGUGAAAUGCGUAGAUAUCGAGAGGAACACCUGCGGCGAAGGCGGGUUGCUGGGCCGACACUGACGCUGAUGCGCGAAAGCCAGGGGAGCGAACGGG